rnacentral:rRNA from 1 species
AUGUGAAUACAUAGCAUAUCUGAAGGCAGACGCGGGGAACUGAAACAUCUUAGUACCCGCAGGAAGAGAAAGAAAAAUCGAUUCCCUGAGUAGCGGCGAGCGAAACGGGAAGAGCCCAAACCAACGAGCUUGCUUGUUGGGGUUGUAGGACACUCUAUACGGAGUUACAAAAGAACAAAUUAGACGAAUCAUCUGGAAAGAUGAAUCAAAGAAGGUAAUAAUCCUGUAGUCGAAAGUUUGUUCACUCUUGAGUGNNNNNNNNNNNNNNNNNNNNNNNNNNNNNNNNNNNNNNNNNNNNNNAGUACCGUGAGGGAAAGGUGAAAAGUACCCCGGAAGGGGAGUGAAAUAGAACUUGAAACCGUGUGCUUACAAGUAGUCAGAGCCCGUUAAUGGGUGAUGGCGUGCCUUUUGUAGAAUGAACCGGCGAGUUACGAUUUGAUGCAAGGUUAAGCAGUUAAUGUGGAGCCGUAGCGAAAGCGAGUCUGAAUAGGGCGUUGAGUAUUUGGUCGUAGACCCGAAACCAGGUGAUCUACCCAUGACCAGGCUGAAGUUCAGGUAACACUGAAUGGAGGGCCGAACCGACUUACGUUGAAAAGUGAGCGGAUGAGUUGUGGGUAGCGGAGAAAUUCCAAUCGAACCUGGAGAUAGCUGGUUCUCUCCGAAAUAGCUUUAGGGCUAGCCUUAAGUAAUGAUUAUUGGAGGUAGAGCACUGUUUGGACGAGGGGCCCUUAUCGGGUUACCGAAUUCAGACAAACUCCGAAUGCCAAUCAAUUUUAUCUUAGGAGUUAGAACGCGGGUGAUAAGGUCCGUGUUCGAAAGGGAAACAGCCCAGACCACCAGCUAAGGUCCCAAAAUAUAUGUUAAGUGGAAAAGGAUGUGGCGUUGCCCAGACAACUAGUAUGUUGGCUUAGAAGCAGCCAUCAUUUAAAGAGUGCGUAAUAGCUCACUAGUCGAGUGACACUGCGCCGAAAAUGUACCGGGGCUAAACAUAUUACCGAAGCUGUGGAUUGUCCGUAAGGACAGUGGUAGGAGAGCGUUCUAAGGGCGUUGAAGCAUGAUCGCAAGGACAUGUGGAGCGCUUAGAAGUGAGAAUGCCGGUGUGAGUAGCGAAAGACGGGUGA